UACAGAGGUCCCAAGCGUUGUUCGGAUUCACUGGGCGUAAAGGGUGCGUAGGUGGCCGGGCAAGUUCGAUGUGAAAGCUCGGAGCUCAACUCCGAAAUGGCAUUGAAUACUAUUCGGCUUGAGGGUCGGAGGGGAGACUGGAAUUCUCGGUGUAGCAGUGAAAUGCGUAGAUAUCGAGAGGAACACCAGUGGCGAAGGCGAGUCUCUGGACGACUCCUGACACUGAGGCACGAAAGCUAGGGGAGCAAACAGG
rnacentral:rRNA from 1 species